UUCAUACUCUGGCUAAGCAAGAAGAUAAACUUUCACUGAAAUCUAUUCCUCUGCACCCCUGGCUCCAACUUCACCUGGUCUUGUGCUCACUCGGUGCUUUUGUUAUUUUAAGGGCCUCUGAAGAAUGGGUUUCUUUCCUGUUUAGAAUUCAGCCCUCUACCGCAGUGCUUCCCAAACUGUAUUCCAUGGGGGUUGGGGAAUGAAGGCUGUGGUAGGUAAUGACUCUCCCAAAGAUGUUCACACCCUCAUCCAUGGUACCUGUGACUGUUGUGUUACAUGGUAAAUGGAACUUUGCAGAUAUGACAUAGAUCUUGAGAUGAAAAGAACAUCCUGGUAUACCCAGGUGGGCCCAAUCUCAUCACAUGAGUUCUUAAAAGUUGAAAGUCUUCCCUGGCUGUGGUCAGAGAGAAAUGAGACAGAAGAACAUGGAGGAGAAAUUCAAGAUGUGAGUUAUUCAACCUACCCCUGCUGGCUUUGCAGAUAGAGGAAGGGGCCAUGAGCCAAGGAAUUUAGGCAGCCUUUAGAAGCUGGGAAUGGCCCUCAGCUAGCAAGGAGACCUUGAGACCUUGGUCCUAUAACCACAAGGAAUUCUGUUCUGCCAAGAGCUGGAAUGACCAAGCAUCGUGUGUGCAAAUAGAGGGCUUCUGCGGAGUCGCAGCAUCAGUAUCACACUCCGUUGUCAUAGUUACACCCUGAAAAGGAAGAUGCCCUGACAAAGACCAGAUUGGCUGUGAACACAGCCCUCUUCCUAUGCGGAUAUUCAGGCCAUGUGGAGAGAUGAUGUACAGAUGUCCUGACACACAGCCAAAGUGAAGUUGCAAUUCACAACCAGCAUCAAUUUCCAGAUACGUGAGGAAGACUUUACGAUGACUCCAGCCCCAACCAUUGUCCAGCUGCAACUGCAGGAGAGACCCUAGUGAGGACCAGACAGCCAGACAGCUGCCCCCACAUCCUCGCUGUUGUUCAGUCACUAAGUCAUAUCUGACUCUUUGCAACCCCAUUAACUGCAAUAUGCCAGAUUUCCCCGUCCUUCACUGUCUCCCAGAGUUUGCUCAAACUCAUGUCCAUUGAGUCAGUGAUGCCUCUGAACCAUCUCAUCCUCUGUUAUCCCUUUCUCCUCCUGCCUUCAAUCUUUCCCACAUCCACAGGAGAUCAUAAUAAAAUGAUUGUUCUUUUUUUAAGCCCCUAAGUUUGGAGAAGACUCUUGCGAGUCCCUUGGACUGCAAGGAGAUCCAACCAGUCCAUUCUAAAGGAGAUCAGCCCUGGGUGUUCUUUGGAAGGAAUGAUGCUAAAGCUGAAACUCCAGUACUUUGGCCACCUCAUGUGAAGAGUUGACUCAUUGGAGAAGACUCUGAUGCUGGGAGGGAUUGGGGGCAGGAGGAGAAGGGGAUGACAGAGGAUGAGAUGGCUAGAUGGCAUCACUGACUCGAUGGACGUGAGUUUGAGUGAACUCCGGGAGUUGGUGACAGACAGGGAGGCCUGGCGUGCUGUGAUUCAUGGGGUCACAAAGAGUCGGACACGACUGAGCGACUGAACUGAACUGAACUGAAGUUUAAGGGUGGCUUGUUAUGUAAGAGUAAACAACUGAAGCAGGGGAUGUGGAAUUGCCUAUUAAAAGGUCUGACUUCUAAUCUCUGUUUCUGUGCCACUCGUGUUUGUCAGUCCCUCUACUUUCCAACCUACAAAACCAGAGCCUGAGUAACUAACUUCCAUCCUCGGGUGCUCGGUCAUCCUCAGGA
ensembl:lncRNA